GCUGUAGCUUAGUGGUAAAGUGCUUGCCUAGCAUGCUUAAGGCUCUGGCUUUGAUCCCCAGGACUAUAGCA
rnacentral:tRNA from 1 species